GUGGCGAACGGCUGAGGAACACGUGCGUUACCAUCCUUUCCGUGGGGAAUACCGGCUGGAAACAGCCGACAAUACCGCAUAUGCUGUCAGUGACAGGAAAGCCUUAGGGCGCGGAGAGACGGGCGCGCGGCCCAUCAGGUAGUUGGUGUGGUAACGGCGCACCAAGCCAAUGACGGGUCGCUGGUCUGCGAGGACGGCCAGCCAGACUGGGACUGCGACACGGCCCAGACACCUACGGGUGGCAGCAGCAAGGAAUCUUCCCCAAUGGGCUCACGCCUGAGGGAGCAACGCCGCGUGGAGGAUGACGGCCUUCGGGUUGUAAACUCCUUUUGUGGGGGAUGAUGAUGACAGUACCCCACGAAUCAGCCCCGGCUAACUCUGUGCCAGCAGCCGCGGUAAGACAGAGGGGGCAAGCGUUGUCCGGAAUUACUGGGCGUAAAGCGCGCGCAGGCGGCCUGGGAUGUGCCUGGUGACAAUUUCCGGCUUAACCGGGAAGGGUCUGGGUAGACACCGAGGCUAGCAGCAGGGAGAGGGUUGUGGAAUACCCGGUGGAGCGGUGAAAUGCGUAGAGAUCGGGUGGAACACCAGUGGCGAAGGCGGCAACCUGGCCCUGCAUGGACGCUGAGGCGCGACAGCGUGGGGAGCAAACGGGAUUAGAUACCCCGGUAGUCCACGCCGUAAACGAUGUGGAGCCGGUGCUGGGGGGUGAUUGCGCCGCUCGGUACCUUAGCUUACGCGAUGACUCCACCG
rnacentral:rRNA from 1 species